GAAAGGGUGGUUUUGAUGUUUUUCGUAUUUUUUUCUUUUUUUUUUUUUUU
rnacentral:ribozyme from 15 species